rnacentral:ncRNA from 2 species
UAAAAGCACUGGGGGAGCCGGAGGAGUCCGGCUGAGAGUGGGCCUUUUUCGGCCCUGACCCUUAUACCUGAUCCGGGUUAUGCCGGCGGAGGGAAGUGCGGGAUUUUAUGC